GCUGGGUGCAGUGGCGCAUGUCUGUAACCCCAGCAGCUGAGGAGGCUGAGGCAGGAGGAUCACGAGUUCAAAGCCAGCCUCAGCAACAGGGAGGCACUAAGCAAUUCAGUGAGACCCUGUCUCUA
rnacentral:sRNA from 1 species